GUAGUACUAUUUGCUUCUAAUGCCCGCAGCAAUCCCUACCUUGCAGGUACCCUAGUUAAUAAUUCAUAAAUCUUGUGGCAAAUCAUGUCAGCCAUAAUACGUCACGUGGAGUGACUUUAUAUAUGAUAAAAGUCAUAAAACUCAUCUUCAUUAGUAUUCUUUAUAUAAUUUAGCCCGCGUGCAGGCCCAAGGGAAGAAUAGUGGGCCUGCAAGCAAGGCCCGGUAUUUUGUACUUUCCGCGUUCGCCCACGAACGCGGCAUUCUGAUUGGCUGUUUGCUAUUGGAUUCUAUAAUUAGAUCAGUGAUUCAUCACAAAGGCUCUCGAUAAGCUUAAAAUUCGAAAAUUGAUCACUUUUCUGAUUAAAAAUGGAACAAGAACAGACUGUUUAUUGUUUACUUGAAGGAAGAGAUGUUUUUGCCGUUAUAUGCCAAUGGGGAUUGCUUGUCGUGAAGUAUUGGAAUAGCAACAUUACGACUAGGGUAAACUAUAGUAACCUUUACUUGAGUUUCAUUAACAGACUUGAUACGUUAUAUGUUCCUCAAGAAAAUUAUCUUUUGGUUGAUGUUGACUCUGCUCUUGCACUGAAGAAAACAGCGCUUUUCGCGGUGAAGUUUUUGAGGCAGUUGCAUGUAUUAAGCUUAUUCGAAACACUUUGCGAUUUGCAAAGCUUCGCUGAGAGAGCCGCGAAACAGAAGACGGUAAUUGCCGUUUGAAACGAAACGAUCUGGACUCUCAACGCUCUCUUCUCCUGUAGAGUUUUUUUUUACCAAAUGAAAUAACUGAAAUAAAUUUCGUAUACUUUCCGCCGCCAACAAGAAUUGCACACACGAUCUGAUAAGUGAGACAAUUUAUUUAUAACAAUGGCGACAGCGAAGCACACAUUAAUGCUAAUGUGGUCGCACGAAUUCCCUCACGAUUUGAAGUUUGAGACUAGUUUUCUGUUGAAAUUCGUCCUAAUUUGCCUGUUCGGAUUUUAGUUGAAAAUGAGCACUUGCAAAUUUGGCAAUUACUGACUGCGUUGCUUGCUUUUGUGAAGUUAAAACACAGCCAUUUACACAUUGUUUCUACUUCGAUUAAAGCAGAGAAAACCCCGCAACAUUUUAAUGCGAGUUUGUUUGUUAUACUAUUUGGGUUGCUGUCAUUGGUUCUUUUUUGACAAUUGAAGCGCGAAUGGGGCGUGUUAUGAAAAGAGUCGUUUUA